rnacentral:rRNA from 1 species
UAGCGGAGGAAAAGAAACUAACAAGGAUUCCCCUAGUAACGGCGAGUGAACCGGGAAGAGCUCAAAUUUGAAAUCUGGCGUGCUCAGUGCGUCCGAGUUGUAAUCUAUAGAGUCGUUUUCCGUGCCGGACUGUGUCCAAGUCCCUUGGAACAGGGUAUCAAAGAGGGUGAUAAUCCCGUACUUGACACAAUGACCGGUGCUCUGUGAUACGUCUUCUACGAGUCGAGUUGUUUGGGAAUGCAGCUCAAAAUGGGUGGUGAGUUCCAUCUAAAGCUAAAUAUUGGCGAGAGACCGAUAGCGAACAAGUACCGUGAGGGAAAGAUGAAAAGCACUUUGGAAAGAGAGUUAAACAGUACGUGAAAUUGUUAAAAGGGAAACGAUUGAAGUCAGUCGUGACUGAGAGGCUCAGCCGGUUCUGCCGGUGUAUUCCCCUCAGUCGGGUCAACAUCAGUUUUGUUCGGUGGAUAAGGGCGGUUGGAAGGUGGCACCCUCGGGUGUGUUAUAGCCAACUGUCGCAUACAUCGGAUGAGACUGAGGAAUGCAGCUCGCCUUUAUGGCCGGGGUUCGCCCACGUCGAGCUUAGGAUGUUGACAUAAUGGCUUUAAACGACCCGUCUUGAAACACGGACCAA